CACAGAUGAUGAUCACGAUAACUUGGUAGAUGAGGACCCUGUGAAAAUAACUAUCAGCAUAUGGAGUCAGUGGAAAGAAUGGCUGUGUUAUAAUCUCACACACCUUACAAGAUCACGCUCUUGCAUUGAUCUUAAUACUGAUGGUGAAGUCGUGUGUCUGGGAUUGCAUACAGAAUCAACUGUCACCGACCGAUGUGGACAGAGCACCACCUUUAAACCUGUUUUUGGUGUUUGGAGUGCAUGGGGCGCCUGGGAUUGCAAUAAGCAUUGCUCUGGCGCCGUACUUGUUAAACGAAUAAGAGCCUGUAAGAGAGACGACACUGCCUAUGGACAUCAUUGUGCUGGAGAAAAAACUCAGAGUAAACAAUGUUCCACUUGCAC
rnacentral:sRNA from 1 species